rnacentral:rRNA from 1 species
GACGAACGCUGGCGGCGUGCCUAAUACAUGCAAGUCGAACGCAGUGGGGACGGGUGAGUAACACGUGGGUAACCUCCCAUCAGAGGGGAUAACACUUGGAAACAGGUGCUAAACCGAUACUGAUGGAUGGACCUGCGUUGUAUUAGCGAGUAGGUAGGGGAAUGGCCUACCUAGGCGACGAUACAUAGCCGACCUGGGAGGGUGAUCGGCCACACUGGGACUGAGCAACGGUCCAGACUCCUACGGGAGGCAGCAGUGGGGAAUAUUGCACAAUGGGCGCAAGCCUGAUGCAGCCAUGCCGCGUGUAUGAAGAAGGCCUUCGGGUUGUAAAGUACUUUCAGCGGGGAGGCGUUACCCGCAGAAGAAGCACCGGCUAACUCCGUGCCAGCAGCCGCGGUAAUUC